AAAAAUAUCGUUGGGAUAGGUGCCCUUCGGGGCUUAAAAGGGAAGUUUGGUGCAAAGCCAACGCGGUCCCGCCACUGUAACGGGGAGCAAUCCCGCAAUAUGCCACUGAAGCCUUUGGCUUUGGGAAGGUGCGGGAGAGUGAUGAACCGGAGCCAGGAGAACUGCCUGUCUGACAAUCACCGUU
rnacentral:ncRNA from 1 species